rnacentral:rRNA from 1 species
CGGACGAACGCUGGCGGGCGUGCCUAACACAUGCAAGUCGAGCGGAGAUAAGCGGAUGGUAACUGAAGCUUAUCUUAGCGGCGGACGGGUGAGUAACACGUGGGCAACCUGCCUUGAAGUGGGGGAUAACACCGGGAAAUCGGUGCUAAUACCGCAUAACAUACACAAACUGCAUGGUAAGUGUAUCAAAGGAGCAAUCCGCUUUAAGAUGGGCCCGCGGCUGAUUAGCUAGUUGGUGAGGUAAAGGCCUACCAAGGCGACGAUGCGUAGCCGACCUGAGAGGGUGAACGGCCACACUGGGACUGAGACACGGCCCAGACUCCUACGGGGGGCAGCAGUGGGGAAUCUUGCACAAUGGGCGAAAGCCUGAUGCAGCGACGCCGCGUGAGCGAAGAAGGCCUUCGGGUUGUAAAGCUCUGUCUGGAGGGACGAAGGAAGUGACGGUACCUCCGGAGGAAGCCACGGCUAACUACGUG